GCCCUGGUGGCGGAAUUUGGUAUACGCGCAUGAUUCAGGAUCAUGUUCCUUUUUAGGAUUGAGGGUUCAAAUCCCUCCCAGGGCA
rnacentral:tRNA from 2 species